AUCAAAUGAUUGACAGACAUUUUCUUUCUUUUCCAGUUCAUGAAUAUCAAAGUUGAUUCUGUACAGCAUCUGAAAACAUCUUGUACUGAGAGGUACUGCGCGUGUUCUCUGAUCUUUUGAUGACGCAGUUCAAUUGAAUUGAGCCUGCAACAUUUCCAAUAAAAGUACCAAAUUUGCCGCAUACAUCCUUGCAAGUGAAGAUCAAAUAACAAUACGUAAAACUGAGCAGGAAACAAGAACUAGCAAGUGAUAUGGAGAUGUGCUGUCAAAAGAUUGAUUUGCUAUUAAACUUCUACCUCAACGCUCAUGAAACUAUGAACAAAAGCUACAUGAAACUAUGCUCGGACUGAACAUAAUCUCUGUACUCUCGUCAUUAGACAACCUUAACAUUUGUAGUCAUGUGUCUGCCUACCAAAUCAUCAAGGGCUUGUAUUAACAACUUGGGGUCAAAUACCACAACCACUUUUGGAUCAUGUACAGAGUCAACAACAAUCUGCAAGGAAAAAAUCGCUCAUGUCUGCGCUUUGAUGUCCAUAUG